UACGAAGGGGGCUAGCGUUGCUCGGAAUUACUGGGCGUAAAGCGUGUGUAGGCGGCCACACAGGUCUGCUGUGAAAACUCGAGGCUCAACCUCGAGCUGUCGGUGGAAACCGUGUGGCUAGAGUCCGGAAGAGGAGAGUGGAAUUCCCGGUGUAGCGGUGAAAUGCGCAGAUAUCGGGAAGAACACCCGUGGCGAAGGCGGCUCUCUGGGACGGUACUGACGCUGAGACGCGAAAGCGUGGGGAGCGAACAGG
rnacentral:rRNA from 1 species